GCGUCAGUGGUUUAGUGGUAAAAUCCAUCGUUGCCAUCGAUGGGCCCCGCGCGCGAUUCGCGGCUGACGCA
rnacentral:tRNA from 1 species